AGCAAGACAGUUCACAAUCCAACCCUGAAUAACUUAGACUACUUAGGGGUAGAAGUACUCUAGCAGGUUCUCUGGGUACACACAAGUUAUGCUGAACACCACUUUGAGUUCAAUGAUUUCAAACUUUAUUCUUAAAAGUAAUCACGCUACAUUUGUUUUAAUGUUUUUCCCCCCUUUUUUUUUUAAUUUUAAUCUAUUUAUUUGUUUAUUUAUUUAGAUACUGCCAAGACUGGUCUAGAACUCCUGGGCUCAAGUGAUCCACCUGCCUCAGCCUCCCAAAGUGCUGAGAUUACAGGUAUGAGCCAAUGCGCUUGGCCUCCUUUUUUUAAAAAGCCUACAAAAUACAGUUCAAGAAUGGCCUCAGGUUAACUGUGUGCAGGCCUUGC
rnacentral:lncRNA from 1 species